GAAUCCCUACGGGAGGCAGCAGUGAGGAAUAUUGGUCAAUGGGCGAGAGCCUGAACCAGCCAAGUCGCGUGAGGGAGUACUGCCCUAUGGGUUGUAAACCUCUUUUGUCGGGGAGCAAAAGCCGGACGUGUCCGGCUGUGAGAGUACCCGAAGAAAAAGCAUCGGCUAACUCCGUGCCAGCAGCCGCGGUAAUACGGAGGAUGCGAGCGUUAUCCGGAUUUAUUGGGUUUAAAGGGUGCGCAGGCGGAUUUUUAAGUCAGCGGUCAAAUCUUGGGGGUUAACCCCAUCCAGCCGUUGCAACUGGG
rnacentral:rRNA from 1 species